GCGGGAUUAGUUGAGCGGUUCAACGGCUCCCUUCCAAGGAGCAAAGAGGGAUUCGACUUCCCUAUCCCGCU
rnacentral:tRNA from 1 species